CAGUCGCACGGGAAUACGAAGGGGGCUAGCGUUGCUCGGAAUCUCUGGGCGUAAAGGGCGCGUAGGCGGCCAUUCAAGUCAGAGGUGAAAGCCUGGAGCUCAACUCCAGAAUUGCCUUUGAUACUGUUUGGCUCGAGACCGGAAGAGGUUAGUGGAACUGCGAGUGUAGAGGUGAAAUUCGUAGAUAUUCGCAAGAACACCAGUGGCGAAGGCGGCUAACUGGUCCGGUUCUGACGCUGAGGCGCGAAAGCGUGGGGAGCAAACAGGAUUAGAUACCCCUGUAGUCCCUGUCUCUUAUACA
rnacentral:rRNA from 1 species